rnacentral:rRNA from 1 species
AUUUCUAAGACAACUAGGAUGUUGGCUUAGAAGCAGCCACUCAUUUAAAGAGUGCGUAAUAGCUCACUAGUCAAGAGAUCCCGCGCCGAAGAUGUCCGGGGCUAAAACUUACCACCGAAGCUAUGGAUGUGUACUACGUACACGUGGUAGAGGAGCUUUCUGCAUUGGCUGAAGUCGUACCGUAAGGAGCGGUGGACGAUGCAGAAGUGAGAAUGUUGGCAUAAGUAGCGAGAGCAAGGUGAGAAUCCUUGCGGUCGAAAACCUAAGGUUUCCUGAGGAAGGCUCGUCCUCUCAGGGUUAGUCGGGACCUAAGCCGAGGCCGAAAGGCGUAGGUGAUGGACAACGGGUUGAUAUUCCCGUACCACUUGCAGACGUUAUUACAAACGGGGUGACGCAGGAGGAUAGGUUGUGCAUACUAUUGGAUGUAUGUCUAAGCAUUUAGGAGUAGCUAGUAGGAAAAUCCGCUAGCCGAAUCUGAGGUGUGAUGGGGAAGCCCUACGGGGUGAAGUAACUGAUUCCACGCUGCCAAGAAAAGCCUCUAUGGAGGAAGCAAGUGCCCGUACCGCAAACCGACACAGGUAGGUGAGGAGAGAAUCCUAAGACCAUCGGAAGAACUGCUGUUAAGGAACUCGGCAAAUUGACCCCGUAACUUCGGGAGAAGGGGUGCCUACGCAAGUAGGUCGCAGAGAAUAGGCCCAAGCAACUGUUUAGCAAAAACACAGGUCUCUGCUAAAGCGAAAGCUGAUGUAUAGGGGCUGACGCCUGCCCGGUGCUGGAAGGUUAAGGGGAACACUUAGCGCAAGCGAAGGUGUGAACUUAAGCCCCAGUAAACGGCGGCCGUAACUAUAACGGUCCUAAGGUAGCGAAAUUCCUUGUCGGGUAAGUUCCGACCCGCACGAAUGGCGUAAUGAUUUGGGCACUGUCUCAACAGCAAAUCCGGCGAAAUUGUAGUACCAGUGAAGAUGCUGGUUACCCGCGAUUGGACGGAAAGACCCCGUAGAGCUUUACUGUAGUUUAGCAUUGAGUUUCGGUAUUGUCUGUACAGGAUAGGUGGGAGACUGAGAAGCAUGGCCGUCAGGUUGUGUGGAGUCAACCUUGGGAUACCACCCUGACAGUACUGGAAUUCUAACUGGAGGCCAUGAAUCUGGUCACAGGACAUUGCUAGAUGGGCAGUUUGACUGGGGCGGUCGCCUCCUAAAAAGUAACGGAGGCGCCCAAAGGUUCCCUCAGAACGGUCGGAAAUCGUUCGAAGAGUGCAAAGGCAGAAGGGAGCCUGACUGCGAGACCUACAAGUCGAGCAGGGACGAAAGUCGGGCUUAGUGAUCCGGUGGUACCUCGUGGGAGGGCCAUCGCUCAACGGAUAAAAGCUACCUCGGGGAUAACAGGCUGAUCUCCCCCAAGAGUCCACAUCGACGGGGAGGUUUGGCACCUCGAUGUCGGCUCGUCGCAUCCUGGGGCUGAAGUAGGUCCCAAGGGUUGGGCUGUUCGCCCAUUAAAGCGGCACGCGAGCUGGGUUCAGAACGUCGUGAGACAGUUCGGUCCCUAUCCGUCGCGGGCGUAGGAAAUUUGAAGGGAGCUGUCCUUAGUACGAGAGGACCGGGAUGGACAGACCUCUGGUGCACCAGUUGUCACGCCAGUGGCACAGCUGGGUAGCUAUGUCUGGAAGGGAUAAACGCUGAAAGCAUCUAAGCGUGAAGCCCACCCUAAGAUGAGAUUUCCCAUAACGUAAGUUAGU